rfam:Xenopus laevis strain J chromosome 1L, whole genome shotgun sequence.
CUGCAGUGAUGACUUCUUAGGACACCUUUGGAAAUAAAACAUGAAAACAACUCGUAUAAUUCUGAGCAGU